UCCGGAGGGUGCAAGCGUUAAUCGGACUUACUGGGCGUAAAGCGCGCGUAGGCGGCUAGAUAAGUCGGAUGUGACAGCCCCGGGCUCAACCUGGGAACUGCAUUCGAUACUGUUUGGCUAGAGUAUGAGAGAGGGAGGUAGAAUUCCACGUGUAGCGGUGAAAUGCGUAGAUAUGUGGAGGAAUACCGGUGGCGAAGGCGGCCUCCGGGCUUAAUACUGACGCUGAGGUGCGAAAGCGUGGGGAGCAAACAGG
rnacentral:rRNA from 1 species